AAAUUUUUUAAUUUAAUUAGUUUAGUUUUUUUAAUUUAAAUUCAAUUGAAUUCAAAGUUUUGAAUUUAAAUUCCAAUUCAAUUUAAAGGUUUUUUUUGUUGUUGUUUUUCACGAAACACUAAGUUUAUGUGAAAGGUUUUGCUGCAAUAUCUUUUUGCCAAGGAUAUUAAGCUUAAGUUAUCCACAAGAAAAUGGUGGGGAGAGGGAAGCUUUAGUUUUGAAAGUUUUUUUUUGUUUGUUUGUUUUUUUCCUCCAGGUUUUUCUUGAGCACAGCAGCGUUUCAGUGUCUGCCUGCCAUUAGUUGCCCCACUACCAAGUCAGGAGGGUUAACUAAACUUGCGUGAGGCAGAAUUUCUUUAUCUGAAUCUACGUGGUUCACAUAAAUAUUUUCUUAUUUCCUUCUUUCCCUAGGAUUAUUCUUCUACCAGUAUUGAAUGUUUCAACGGACACCGUUUAAGAUCAAUGAGAAAAAGCAUCCUGCGGUGUUCGGUCUCCAGCUUUGAAGAAAGUAUGGCGAUACUGAGGGGAACUGUCAACAGAAGACGCUUUUCAAGGCAGUUGAGAAAGCCGAAAUUGGAACAAAAAAAAGAAUAUAACACAGGCAAGUGGCUGUAACUCCCCGGGAUACCGAUUUAUGCUGGUUACUGAAGAGGAUGGCACUUGGUCACUCCAUCGCUUUCAUUUGGCCCCAAAGCCUUCUGUAGUCAGCUGAAUUCACUCAUCAGUGACUUUUCUGUGAAGAGAGUCACCAGAACAUUGAGGAGUAGAGCUGGUGCAAAAACUAUGAGACGAGUCCAUGGAGAAAACAGGGACUUGGAGCUGCGCCGCAGCUGUAGAGUCCGACGCAGUCGGUACUCUACUACUAACUCGUCCAUUCUAUUUGACAAACUUAUAACAAAUACUGCGGAAGUUGUGCUACAAAAAAUGGAUGAAAUGGAGCAGAUGCGUAGAUGCCAAAGAUGUUGGGAAGAUGUUGAGGAGAACCUUGAUAUCUUCACCUGA
rnacentral:lncRNA from 1 species